rfam:Waddlia chondrophila WST 86-1044, complete genome.
UGUUAAGUUACUAAGAGCUGCUGGUGGAUGCCUUGGCAUCAACAGGCGAUGAAGGACGCGCGUACCUGCGAUAAUCCUCGGUGAGCUGGAAAGAAGCGAAGACCCGGGGGAUUCCGAAUGGGGCAACCCAAUGGGAUUAACACCCCAUUAUCUUUACCUGAAUAAAUAGGGUAUAGAGGCGAGACCUGCCGAACUGAGACAUCUAAGUAGGUAGAGGAAAAGAAAUCAAAGAGAUUCCCUGAGUAGCGGCGAGCGAAAUGGGAAGAGCCCAAACCAAAGACGUAGUUUUUGGGGUUGUAGGACCAGUCAAAGGAUUGGAGAUUGUUAGUCGAACACAUCUGGAAAGUUGGAUGACACAGGGUGAUAGUCCCGUAGACGAAAGCAAGAUCCGACAGGAUUGGCACCUGAGUAGGGCCGGACACGUGAAACCCGGUCUGAAUCUGGGGAGACCACUCUCCAAGGCUAAAUACUCGUUGAUGACCGAUAGUGAACCAGUACCGUGAGGGAAAGGCGAAAAGAACCCCUGUGAGGGGAGUGAAAUAGAACCUGAAACCAGCAGCUUACAAGCGGUCGGAGGCCUAUGAGCACUAAGUGCUAAUGGCUGACGGCGUGCCUUUUGCAUGAUGAGCCAGCGAGUUAAUUUAUGUGGCGAGGUUAAGGGACGAACGUUCUGAAGCCGAAGCGAAAGCGAGUGUGAAUAGCGCGAGUUUUAGUCACAUGAAUUAGACACGAAACCAAGUGAUCUAUCCAUGGUCAGGUUGAAGCAAGGGUAACACCUUGUGGAGGACCGAACCAGUAUACGUUGCAAAGUGUUUGGAUGAACUGUGGAUAGGGGUGAAAGGCCAAUCAAACUUGGAGAUAUCUUGUUCUCUCCGAAAUAACUUUAGGGUUAGCCUUGAGACUUAAGAUGUGCGGGGGUAGAGCACUGGAUCCAAUAGGGGGCCUACCGGCCUACCGACGGGAACCAAACUCCGAAUACCGCAUAUUGUCUCGGGAGAUAGACUGCGGGGGAUAAGCUUCGUAGUCGAGAGGGGAACAGCCCAGACCGUCAUCUAAGGCCCCAAAUUCUGUGUUAAGUGAGUAAGGAAGUGAAGUUUCUUAGACAGUUGGUAUGUUGGCUUAGAGGCAGCCACCAUUUAAAGAGUGCGUAACAGCUCACCAAUCGAGAGGCUUUGCGCCGAUAAUAGACGGGACUAAAACACAGAGCCGAAGGUACGGAUUCAUACUGAGAAGUAUGAGUGGUAGGAGAGCGUAGUUAGUGCGCCGAAGGUGUACCGUAAGGAGCGCUGGAGCGCUAACUAGUGAGAAUGCAUGGCAUGAGUAACGAUAAAGGGGGUGAAAAUCCCCCUCGCCGAAAAUCCAAGGUUUCCAGGGUAAAGCUCGUCUUCCCUGGGUUAGUCGGUCCCUAAGCUGAGGCUGAGAGGCGUAGGCGAUGGCAAGCAGGUUAAAUAUUCCUGCACCACCUAAGACUAUAGUAAUGGGCUGACGAAGUGAUAGAAGCAUGCGGACAAUUGGAAAAGUCCGUGGCACUGUGAGAGAGGCUGGCAGGCAAAUCCACCAGCGUAAUUUCAGGCGGUGACCAAGGGGAAUCUUAGGAGGAACCGAAGAUGUGGAUAAAGCUUCCAAGAAAUAAGCUCUAACUGUUGAUGGUGACCGUACCAAAACCGACACAGGUGGAUGGGAUGAGUAUUCUAAGGCGCGCGAGAUAACCCUCGUUAAGGAACUCGGCAAAUUAUCCUUGUAACUUCGGGAGAAGAGGAGCCGGGGGAUGUGACGAAACUAGCUUUUAGAGCAUGACCCGGUCGCAGAGAAGAGGCCCAGGCGACUGUUUAGCAAAAACACAGCACUAUGCAAACCCGUUAAGGGGAAGUAUAUGGUGUGACGCCUGCCCAAUGCCAAAAGGUCAAACGGAGAUGUUAGCUUUUGCGAAGCAUUGAAGUUAAGCCCUGGUGAAUGGCGGCCGUAACUAUAACGGUCCUAAGGUAGCGAAAUUCCUUGUCGGGUAAGUUCCGACCUGCACGAAUGGUGUAACGAUCUGGGCGCUGUCUCAACGAGGGACUCGGUGAAAUUGUAGUAGCAGUGAAGAUGCUGUUUACCCGCAACAAGACGGAAAGACCCCGUGAACCUUUACUGUACUCUGAUAUUGGCUUCUGACUUAACGUGUGUAGGAUAGCCGGGAGACUUUGAAAGUUGCUCGUCAGGGCAGCUGGAGUCGUCCUUGAAAUACCGGUCUCGUUAGGCCGGGAGUCUAACGUGAUCCCAUGAAUCUGGGAGACGGACAUUGUCAGACGGGCAGUUUUACUGGGGCGGUAUCCUCCUAAAAGGUAACGGAGGAGUCCAAAGCUAACCUCAUCGCGGUUGGCAAUCGCGAGUGGAGCGUAAAGGUAUAAGGUUGGUUAACUGUGAGACCUACAAGUCGAACAGAAACGAAAGUUGGGCUUAGUGAUCCGGCGGUGGAAAGUGGAAUCGCCGUCGCUCAACGGAUAAAAGGUACUCCGGGGAUAACAGGCUUAUCGCCACCAAGAGUUCAUAUCGACGUGGCGGUUUGGCACCUCGAUGUCGGCUCAUCGCAUCCUGGGGCUGGAGAAGGUCCCAAGGGUUUGGCUGUUCGCCAAUUAAAGCGGUACGCGAGCUGGGUUCAAAACGUCGUGAGACAGUUUGGUCCCUAUCUGUUGUGGGCGUAGGAUACUUGAGAGGAGCUGUUCCUAGUACGAGAGGACCGGAAUGGACGAACCGAUGGUGUUCCUGUUGUUCUGCCAAGGGCAUAGCAGGGUAGCUAAGUUCGGAAAGGAUAAGCGUUGAAAGCAUCUAAACGCCAAGCCUCCCUCAAGAUAAGGUAUCCCAAUGAGACGCCAUGUAGACGACGUGGUUGAUAGGCUGGGUGUGUAAGUGCAGUAAUGUAUUUAGCUAACCAGUACUAAUUAGUCCAUUGACUUAACUUU